AUGCACCACAGCGACCGUGUGAAGAUGCAGUUCGGAAUGCAUCAAGAGAUACCAAGUGAUCCGACUUGUUUGUCCUCGUGGCAUCUCAAAAGGGUCGACGCCCAGUGGGGUCUUACCAAUUGGAAAGACUUUGCUCUAGAAUGGUGUAAGAUGUGGCAGAGGCGUCACCGAUAUGUCUUGCAAUUCCCGGUUUUCCUAAAUCAUGGUAAUAUGCGACACACGGAUCAAUAUUUAUCUUGGUACAGGUCAGUUAGUAACUCUGAAAUGCACGUGUCUCAUCCAAGGUAUUUGGUUGAUCCACGAACACAAUGGGCACAACCCUCAUUUCCCCAACAACAAACCCAACACACAUCAACCUCCCACCAACCCCACAGACAAAACAGAACCACAAAUACC